GACGAACGCUGGCGGCGUGCUUAACACAUGCAAGUCGAACGGAAAGGCCCUGCUUUUGUGGGGUUCUCGAUUGGCGAACAGGUGAGUAACACGUGUGUAACCUGCCCUUGACUUUGGGAUAACUUCUGGAAACUGGGGCUAAUACCGCAUAGGAUCUCCUGCUGCGUGGUGGGGGUUGGAAAGAUUCGGCGGUUGGGGCUGGACUCGCGGCUUAUCAGCUUGUUUGUGGGGUUGUGGCUUACCAAGGCUUUGACGGGUAGGCGGCCUGAGAGGGUGACCGGGCACCAUGCGCCUGCGAGAGGCAGCAGACUCGUACGGGAGGCAGUAGUCGGGAAUAUUACAGAAUGAGCGGACGCCUGAUGCAGCAAUGCCGCGUGCGGGAUGACGGCUUUCGGGUGGUAAACCGCUUUCGCAGGUGCCGAACAGUGAGUGACGGUAAUGAGUAAAGAAGCCCCGGCUAACUACGUG
rnacentral:rRNA from 1 species